rnacentral:lncRNA from 1 species
AUUGUUGAUAUGUAAUAUCACACUUAGGGGUAAAACAGUAAUAUUCGAAUCGAAGAUCUCGUUUUAUUAGAAGAUAGUUCGGAAAAAUACAACUUGAGUUAAAGUCGUCGUAGUUUCGACGACCUCGUUAACAAAGGGAGAAUUUGAAAUAAAGUUGGCGAUCUCAAAAUUCUUCGAAGGUCUCUCUCUGCUGUUGAUUUGCGGAUGCCUCGAAUGAAUGAAGUUCUUCCCUAUUUAUACGAAUUCUAAGGCGGUUUGAGAAGAACUUUCCUUUUCCUUCUCGAUAUGGGAUUUAACAUUUUCCUCCCCGAUAUUUCCGGGAAUCCUCCGUGAAAUUCGGGAAAGUCGGCCAAUUUCGUAAAUUGGGCUUUAAUGGGCCUUCUAGAAAGUCAUACGUCGGCCCACCCGAUUUAACCUCGAUUCUAAUCUUCGUAAACCGAGGUCUCUCCGGACUGGUCUCGAUUAAUACCGAGUU